UACGUAGGGGGCAAGCGUUGUCCGGAAUCAUUGGGCGUAAAGAGCGUGUAGGCGGUCCGGUCAGUCGGUUGUGAAAGUCAAGGGCUCAACCCUUGAAUGCCGGCCGAUACUGCCGGGCUAGAGUCCGGAAGAGGUGAGUGGAAUUCCUGGUGUAGCGGUGAAAUGCGCAGAUAUCAGGAGGAACACCGAUGGCGAAGGCAGCUCUCUGGGACGGUACUGACGCUGAGACGCGAAAGCGUGGGGAGCGAACAGG
rnacentral:rRNA from 1 species